UUCGGGCUCCUUUUACAGUAUUCACUGGCAGCCCUGUGGCUCUAUUCUUCUGUCUCUUUCUUUUCUCAAAUCUUCACUCCCGUUUUCAGGUUUGGUGGAAGAGGUUGGCUGGACACAACACUGUUCCAGGCUCAUGGCUGGGCAUGGCUAGAGACAGGUUUCUCUGUGUAGACUUCCGCCGUAUUCAGGAACUAGCUCUAAAGACCAUGCUGGCCCCGAAAUGACAGAUGUCUGCCUGCCUCUGCGUACAAAGUGCUGUGAUAAAAGGCAUGCGCCAUCACUGGUUCAGAGCCUGACUCUUGCCUCGAAUUCUACCUUUGCUCUCUGGGCUUCACCGAGGAGACCUCAGAGGGAAGAGGGAAAGUCCUGACCCAGGCUUCUCUGCUCAUUCUCUCCUCCUCCAGACCCCAGCAGGUCCCCAUGUUUGACCCAGUAUGUUGGGGUUCCCUUUCCACAAAUCACCUGACACAGCUGCUCUUCCCACAGCCAUGACUGUAGCUGCUGUGCCCCCCGCGUUGAGUGCUGUGGGCUUCACAGGGACAGGAAUUGCUGCCUCCUCUCUAGCUGCUAAGAUGAUGUCCUUGUCUGUAGUGAGACAUCCACCCAGCCGGCAUCUAUAGCGCUGACCACACCCAUUUGGGCAUGGUCACAGGUGCCAACAUGACAGUGGUUUUAGGUCUGGGGUUGUAGCACAGGGAGCUCUUCCUUGCUUCUGGCCGGGCUAGCGAAUGCAGCCUGGGUGGAUCUUUGGAGUGGGGACUUAUGGCAGUCACCUGCUUCUUGUGUAACUGACUUCUCCCGAAUAAAAUGAUAUUAACCUGUUCUGAGCAUAGUCCCGUGAUUCUUGAUCCGUGCAUCCAUUCUAGUCAGCCAUUGCUAAUGGGGACGGUGUUGCAGCUGGUGGAUUGGUGGCCACUCUGAUGUCAGUGGGAGCCGCUGGACUGUCCAUGUCAUCCAAAUUACUCUUGGGCUCUGCAGGGUCUUCUCUCAUGGCCCGUGUGAUGGGCAUUUGUGAGUUCCAGCCCUUCUCUCCUCCAGGAGGGGACAUGGAGGCAGAGGGUACACUGCCCAGUUUUUUCAACCAAAAGAGGGAUCAGUUAAUCCCAAGGAACAAUCUGUAAAGGCCACAAGCCUAAUCGGAAAUAAGAAAUAGAACCAAUUUGUUGUCUACCUUA